UACGAAGGGGGCUAGCGUUGCUCGGAAUUACUGGGCGUAAAGGGCGCGUAGGCGGCACUGUUAGUCAGGCGUGAAAAGUCCUGGGCUCAACCACAGAAUUGCCUUUGAUACUGUUCGGCGUCGAGACCGGAAGAGGUAAGUGGAACUGACGAGUGUAGAGGUGAAAUUCGUAGAUAUUCGCAAGAACACCAGUGGCGGAAGGCGGACUCACUGGCCCGAUACGUGA
rnacentral:rRNA from 1 species